rnacentral:lncRNA from 1 species
CGCCCUGAGCCCGUCCCCCUUGUCCCGCCGGCCAGACCCGCUCGGACGAGGAGAGGGAGGCCUGGCUGAAGACCCUGCGGGCCAGGGGAGCAGCGGAGCCGGCCUGCGAGCGGACCCCGCCGGACAGCCCGAGCCUGGGAGAUGCCGGCAGCUGCCCGGCUGCAGGCGGGCUGCUGCUGCGCCGCUUCCCGACCCCCAACGCCUACAUGGACGACCCCUUUGGGCAGCUCCCGCCGGCCGCGUCCCCCAACCCCGUCUACUCCAACGUGGAGCGGCUGCAGCAGCUGCAGCAGAGCCUGGACCGCGCGGCCCCCCGGCCGCACAGGAGACCCCUCUCCGCGGUGCCCAGCGGGGCCUGCAGCACCGCCCUGGGGGGGGCCGUGCCGGCGCAGGCAGCAUCCGCCGCGCCUCGCCUGGGCCAGGCUGCCAGCCGGCAGCGGGCGGAGGUGAGCCCCGAGCUCAAGAGCAGGGAUUUCUUCCGCUCCCAGCGCACGCUGACGCUGCCCGAGAGGAAGGGGGCUCGCGACGGCUUGGACUUCCUCAUCGGCAGGAGAGCCUUCCCCAAGCUGGAGGAGAAGGUGGGGCAGCUGGAGAGGGCCUGCCGCGUGAAGAGCAGGCUGAAAGCCGGCUCCGAGAUGAACCUGCUGGCCAUCGGCAAGUCGCUCAAGGGCCACAUAGCCGCCACCGCGAGCUCGGCCGGCUCCGAGGGCUCUUUCCUCACGCCGCUGCUGAAGCGCACGGCCUCCGCGAAGAGCGCCCUGAAGCGAGCUCCCUCCGUGGUCGUCAUCGAAAAGGGGAAGGUGCUGCAGAAGAGGAAGGAGUGGGAGAUGAAGUCUGCCCUGUGAGCAGCCCCUCGUGCCCGCGCCGCGUUCCGGGGGCAGGAUCCGCCCCGCACACACCCUGCCCGCCCAGGCACCUCUCAGCACAGCAACGCUGCACGUGGACCGUGCAGGACCGCCUCGGUAUCUGUUUUUUUAACCAUUGGUAUCAACGCUAUAACUACGUGUAUCUAUUUUUUAUAUAUAUUAUAUAUAUAUGAACUCCCUGUCUGGGUUUCCAGUUUCUCGGCAGCGGCACCGAGGGCGGGCAGCCCCUCGCGGGCCCCGCUGCCUUGUCCCCCUCCCUGGCCCGGGGUCAGGGCUGCUCCCAGCAGCUUUGCGCUUUGGGCCCAGUUUUCCGGCUGCAACCUCACUGCCGCCAGCUCUGUCC